rnacentral:rRNA from 1 species
UACGAAGGGGGCUAGCGUUGCUCGGAAUCACUGGGCGUAAAGCGCACGUAGGCGGAUUGCUAAGUCAGAGGUGAAAUCCUGGAGCUCAACUCCAGAACUGCCUUUGAUACUGGCGACCUUGAGUCCGGGAGAGGUGAGUGGAACUGCGAGUGUAGAGGUGAAAUUCGUAGAUAUUCGCAAGAACACCAGUGGCGAAGGCGGCUCACUGGCCCGGUACUGACGCUGAGGUGCGAAAGCGUGGGGAGCAAACAGGG